ACAUCCAGCGAACUUGGCAGAGAUGCCUUGGUGCCUUCGGGAACGCUGAGACAGGUGCUGCAUGGCUGUCGUCAGCUCGUGUUGCGAAAUGUUGGGUUAAGUCCCGNAACGAGCGCAACCCUUAUCCUUUGUUGCCAGCGAUUCGGUCGGGAACUCAAAGGAGACUGCCGGUGAUAAACCGGAGGAAGGUGGGGAUGACGUCAAGUCAUCAUGGCCCUUACGAGUAGGGCUACACACGUGCUACAAUGGCGCAUACAAAGAGAAGCGACCUCGCGAGAGCAAGCGGACCUCAUAAAGUGCGUCGUAGUCCGGAUCGGAGUCUGCAACUCGACUCCGUGAAGUCGGAAUCGCUAGUAAUCGUGGAUCAGAAUGCCACGGUGAAUACGUUCCCGGGCCUUGUACACACCGCCCGUCACACCAUGGGAGUGGGUUGCAAAAGAAGUAGGUAGCUUAACCUUCGGGAGGGCGCUUACCACUUUGUGAUUCAUGACUGGGGUGAAGUCGUAACAAGGUAGGCGUAGCGAG
rnacentral:rRNA from 1 species